AAUGACCGAAUCACAUACGUACAAUAUAAUAAGUGGCAUAAUAUUACUCCUCCUAUACAUCAAGUAACAAGUUAUCGUACGUCAAGUCUGGGACGACAAAUGAAAUACCGGAAGAUGAUGAUAUAAUUUUAAGGUUUAGUGAAUGGGGAGAUAUUGGCAUAUAGGAUUUUUGGCAAGAGACUGUGUGAUUUUAUAUUGUAGGCCAGAUACAGGAGGCAUUUCAAUAUAUAGUACCUAAUAAUUGGUGGAUUAGGAGAAAUCCUGUUCAUCAUAUCGUGGUUGAAGAAGUUAAGAACCAUGAUUGCAAACCACCGGGAAAUUUUACAAUAACUGAAACAAAAGAAAUUCAUGGCGAUAAUAAUAAUCCCACAUAGCGAAAUUACAUUUUAAAAACAUUUUGAAAAUAUUUUUUAGAAAACGAAUAACAUUUUCAUAUAAUUUUCUAAUCAUCAUUCUAGGUUUUAAAAAUAUCCUAAAAACAUUUAUUGUCGCAAAAAAAAAUAAUCAUCGAAAUGUUUUUUAAUCAUUUUAAAAAUAUUUCAUGUUAUGUUUUGAAAACAUUUAAAAUGGUAUGUAUCUAAAAUAUUUUUUUUUAAAUAUUUGCAAUAUAUUCUUAUUAGUCCGUUUAAAC